AGAGUUUGAUCCUGGCUCAGGACGAACGCUGGCGGCGUGCUUUAUACAUGCAAGUCAAGGAGAAAGUUUUCUUCGGAAAACGAUUAAACUGGCGAACGGGUGAGUAACGCGUAGGCAACCUGCCCUAUAGAUUGGGAUAACAUUGGGAAACUGAUGCUAAUACCGGAUGAUGCAACAUUUUCUUUGGAAAGAGUUGUUAAAGCGGGCUUCGGCUCGCGCUUUAGGAUGGGCCUGCGUCCGAUUAGCUUGUUGGUAAGGUAAUGGCUUACCAAGGCAAUGAUCGGUAGCUGGUCUGAGAGGAUGAUCAGCCACACUGGGAUUGAGAUACGGCCCAGACUCCUACGGGAGGCAGCAGUAGGGAAUUUUGCGCAAUGGACGAAAGUCUGACGCAGCAACGCCGCGUGAUCGAUGAAGCUUCUAGGAGUGUAAAGAUCUGUCGUGAGGGAAGAAAAAUCUGGAUGUAAAUAAUGUUCAGACUUGACGGUACCUUACAAGAAAGCACCGGCUAACUUCGUGCCAGCAGCCGCGGUAAUACGAGGGGUGCAAGCGUUGUCCGGAAUCACUGGGCGUAAAGGGUCCGUAGGCGUUUCAAUAAGUCAUAUGUUAAAGACACCGGCUUAACCGGUGACAUGCAUUUGAAACUGUUGAAAUAGAGUAUAGGAGAGGAAAGUGGAAUUCCUGGUGUAGCGGUGACAUGCGUAGAUAUCAGGAGGAACAUCAAUGGCGAAGGCAGCUUUCUGGCCUAUUACUGACGCUGAGGGACGAAAGCGUGGGGAGCGAACAGGAUUAGAUACCCUGGUAGUCCACGCCGUAAACGAUGAGAACUAGAUGU
rnacentral:rRNA from 1 species